rnacentral:rRNA from 1 species
UACGAAGGUGGCAAGCGUUGUUCGGAUUCACUGGGCGUACAGGGUGUGUAGGCGGUUUGUCGCGUCUGCCGUGAAAGUCCGGGGCUCAACUCCGGAUCUGCGGUGGGUACGGGCAGACUAGAGUGAUGUAGGGGAGACUGGAAUUCCUGGUGUAGCGGUGAAAUGCGCAGAUAUCAGGAGGAACACCGAUGGCGAAGGCAGCUCGCUGGGACGGUACUGACGCUGAGACGCGAAAGCGUGGGAGCAAACAGG